UACGAAGGGGGCUAGCGUUGCUCGGAAUCACUGGGCGUAAAGGGUGCGUAGGCGGGUUUUUAAGUCAGGGGUGAAAUCCUGGAGCUCAACUCCAGAACCGCCUUUGAUACUGAAGAUCUUGAGUCCGGGAGAGGUGAGUGGAACUGCGAGUGUAGAGGUGAAAUUCGUAGAUAUUCGCAAGAACACCAGUGGCGAAGGCGGCUCACUGGCCCGGUACUGACGCUGAGGCACGAAAGCGUGGGGAGCAAACAGGG
rnacentral:rRNA from 1 species